AUUGAACGCUGGCGGCAGGCCUAACACAUGCAAGUCGAGCGGAUGAAGGGAGCUUGCUCCUGGAGUCAGCGGCGGACGGGUGAGUAAUGCCUAGGAAUCUGCCUGGUAGUGGGGGAUAACGUCCGGAAACGGGCGCUAAUACCGCAUACGUCCUGAGGGAGAAAGUGGGGGAUCUUCGGACCUCACGCUAUCAGAUGAGCCUAGGUCGGAUUAGCUAGUUGGUGGGGUAAAGGCCUACCAAGGCGACGAUCCGUAACUGGUCUGAGAGGCUGAUCAGUCACCCUGGAACUGAGACACGGUCCAUACUCCUACGGGAGGCAGCAGUGGGGAAUAUUGGACAAUGGGCGAAAGCCUGAUCCAGCCAUGCCGCGUGUGUGAAGAAGGUCUUCGGAUUGUAAAGCACUUUAAGUUGGGAGGAAGGGCAGUAAGUUAAUACCUUGCUGUUUUGACGUUACCAACAGAAUAAGCACCGGCUAACUUCGUG
rnacentral:rRNA from 1 species